rnacentral:sRNA from 2 species
AUAAAUGGAUAGCCGAAUUUCUUGUGGGACACAAGAAAACGGAGGACCCAAGUUCCGGGGUGAAUCCAGAAGAUCUUUCUGGUAGGGUACCGCUUCGACCGCCCGAACCCGUCAGCUAACUUCGUAGGCAAAGGGAGAGGGCAU